AUCAUUUAAUUUUUAUUACAAAUUUCCAAUUUAUAACCAAAAUAUACAACCACUACAUUUAAAAUCAGUUUGUACACUCACAGUUAAAGUGCUAAGUAAAAAACAUUUACAAAAACUUGACAUCAGUCUACUGUAAACAAAAUAAAUCUACAAGAGCAGAGUGCAAAGCACAUCAGCUAAUGUGAAAGUACAGUUCAUGCUCUAAUCAAGCACACUUGCCCUCUACAUAGCUCAACAACAGUAAAUUCUCCACUUGUUUGGAAAUUAAUGAUCGAUUUUAAAUACAUAAAAAAGAAACAUGAAGAACCAAUGCCACAAAAUACAAAUCUUCAUCAGCACAGUUUCCAACCAGAUGCUUAUAUGAUAAAGCAAGAUUAAAACUUUAGAUCAAUUUUAGGGUCACCUCCAUCAACUUAAUUCAGAUUAGGGUCUGAAAACUAAACUGCCAAGUGCCAAUAGCUUUUAAAAAUAAUGGAAAAGGAAUAUCUCUUCUACCUUUAUAUUUCUUGAGAAAAGGAGAAGGUGGUGGUCAUUUCUCAUAACAGUAAAAUGAGUAAAGACUUUAAAAAAAAACAAACUAAGAAUGGAGAACGCUCACCUGUA
rnacentral:lncRNA from 1 species